UUCCUGCCUGUUGUCAUUCUGCACUACCGUCACCAGGAGGCGCUGUGGCCCUUACAAUGUGAACGCUGUUGAUCAUUAUUCACUGCUAAGUCUGCUGAGCUGAACUGUGGGAGAGGAGAGGAGCACGAACACAUUGAUCUUAUUUGGACGGGCUUUUGUCUGGGACACAUCCAAACCCAAACAGCCAGGGGAAGAACCACAACAGGCUGUGUCUUAUUGAAAGAGGAUCAACAUGCUCGGGGCGAAUCACAUUUAGUGCUCUGCUGUAGGAUGUGAUUGCUGAUAGAUCAGGC